AAACAUAGUGCUUUAGUUCUGGAGCUUCCUUUCCAAUGUUCUAUAAAGAAUAUUUUACUCCUGAAGUAAACCCAUAUCAAGGCGGGUAGAAGAAAGGUUGCCAUGUCAACAUGUGAGCAGCAGACCAAACCAAAAGAGGCUGUGAAAUGGAAGCAAAAGGAGACUUGGUUGUGAUGGCUCAGAACAGAGGACCCAGUAUUCAAGGCAAGACAGACAGUAAGAUUACUGAAAAAGUGUUAAUUUAAAAACAAUGGAUUUGCAGUGGUCGGCCAGGAUGUCUAAGGAAGCAACAUCUGCAGGAGGGAAACACAGGAUCCGGGACUUUGCCCACCAGAGGGCGCUGUGGAUCCAAGCCUGGGGAGCUGAUGCUCAACGCUCAGCUGAUUCUCAUCAGCUCAUGAUUAAGGAGGCUUCCUAUUUAAGCUGUGUGUG